UACGAAGGGGGCGAGCGUUGUUCGGAAUUACUGGGCGUAAAGGGCGCGUAGGCGGCCCCUUUUGUCGCGUGUGAAAGCCCCGGGCUCAACCUGGGAGGUGCGCGCGAAACGGGGGGGCUUGAGUUCGGGAGAGGAGAGUGGAAUUCCCAGUGUAGAGGUGAAAUUCGUAGAUAUUGGGAAGAACACCAGUGGCGAAGGCGGCUCACUGGCCCGGUACUGACGCUGAGGUGCGAAAGCGUGGGGAGCAAACAGG
rnacentral:rRNA from 1 species